rnacentral:misc_RNA from 1 species
GAUGAAGAACGUAGCGAAAUGCGAUAAGUAAUGUGAAUUGCAGAAUUCAGUGAAUCAUCGAAUCUUUGAACGCAUCUUGCGCUCCUUGGUAUUCUGAGGAGCAUGCCUGUUUGAGUGUCAUUAAAUUCUCAACUACACUGACUUUGAAUUGGUGUGGCUUGGAUUUGGGGGGAAAAUUGAUGUGGGCUUUUUGUAUAGUCUGCUCCCCUGAAAUUGAUUAGCGGUACCUUUGUGGAACUGUCUACAGGUGUGAUAAUUAUCUACAUCUGCUGGAAUGCUGCUUUCUAAACCUUACUUGUAUUGACAAUCUUGACCUCAAAUCAGGUAGGACUACCCGCUGAACUUAAGCAUAUCAAUAAGCGGAGGA